rnacentral:rRNA from 1 species
UACGUAGGGUCCGAGCGUUGUCCGGAAUUACUGGGCGUAAAGAGCUCGUAGGUGGUUUGUCGCGUUGUUCGUGAAAACCCACAGCUUAACUGUGGGCGUGCGGGCGAUACGGGCAGACUUGAGUACUGCAGGGGAGACUGGAAUUCCUGGUGUAGCGGUGGAAUGCGCAGAUAUCAGGAGGAACACCGGUGGCGAAGGCGGGUCUCUGGGCAGUAACUGACGCUGAGGAGCGAAAGCGUGGGGAGCGAACAGG